GACAGAGGGUGCAAACGUUGUUCGGAAUUACUGGGCGUAAAGCGCGUGUAGGCUGCUCGGAAAGUCGGAUGUGAAAGCCCUGGGCUCAACCUAGGAAGUGCAUUCGAAACUUCUGAGCUGGAGUGCUGGAGAGGAAGGCGGAAUUCUCGGUGUAGAGGUGAAAUUCGUAGAUAUCGAGAGGAACACCGGUGGCGAAGGCGGCCUUCUGGACAGUAACUGACGCUGAGACGCGAAAGCGUGGGGAGCAAGCAGG
rnacentral:rRNA from 1 species